CAACUACUCCCUCUGUCCCAAAUUUCUUGUCUUAGAUUUGUCUAGAUAUGGAUGUAUCUAAUACUAAAAUGUGACUUGAUACAUCCGUAUCUAGACAAAUCCAAGACAAGAAUUUUGGGACGGAGGGAGUACUUU
rnacentral:pre_miRNA from 1 species